GGUUCGAUCAUGGCUCAGAUUGAACGCCAGAAGUGAUGCUUAGAUACAUGCAAGUCGAACGGCAGCACGGACUUCGGUCUGGUGGCGAGUGGCGAACGGGUGAGUAAUGUAUCGGAACGUGCCUAGUAGCGGGGGAUAACUACAAGAAAGCGUAGCUAAUACCGCAUACGCCCUUCGGGGGAAAGCGGGGGGACUCCGGGGCCUCGCACUAUUAGAGCGGCCGAUAUCGAUUACGAAGUUGGUGGGGUAACGGCUCACCAAGGCGACGAUCCGUAGCUGGUUUGAGAGGGUCGACCAGCCACACUGGGACUAUGACACGGCCCAGACUCCUACGGGAGGCAGCAGUGGGGAAUUUGACAAUGGGGGAAAUCCCUGAUCCAGCCAUCCCGCGUGUGCGAUGAAGGCCUUCGGGUUGAAAGCACUUUGGGCAGGAAAGAAACGGCACGGGAUAAUACCCCGUGCAACUGACGGUACCUGCAGAAUAAGCACCGGCUAACCACGAAGCAACAGCAGCCGCGGCAUACUGUAGGGUGCAAGCGUUAAUCGGAAUUAUUGGCAAGCGUGCGCAAGGCGGUUCGGAAAGCAGCAGAUGGGAAUCCCAGAGCUUAACUUUGAACUGCACUUUAACUACCGAGCUAGAGUGUGUCAGAGGGAGGUAGGAAUUGGCGUGGCAGAAAUGCGUAGAUAUGCGGAGGAACACCGAUGGCGAAGGCAGCCCUGGGAUAACACUGACGCUCAUGCACGAAAGCGUGGGGAGCAAACAGGAUUAGAUACCCCAGAACGACGCCCUAAACGAUGUCAACUAGCUGUUGGGGCCUUCGGGCCUUGGUAGCGCAGCUAUCGGUAAAGCGACCGCCCGGGGAGUACGGUCGCAAGAUUUAAACUCAAAGGAAUUGACGGGGACCCGCACAGCGGUGGAUGAUGUGGAUUAAUUCGAUGCAACGCGAAAACCUUACCUACCCUUGACAUGUCUGGAAUCCCGAAGAGAUUUGGGAGUGCUCGCAAGAGAACCGGAACACAGGUGCUGUAUGGCUGUCGUCAGCUCGUGUCGUGAGAUGUUGGGUUAAGUCCCGCAACGAGCGCAACCUCUUGUCAUUAGUUGCUACGAAAGGCACUCUAAUGAGACUGCCGGUGACAAACCGAGGAAGGUGGGGAUGACGUCAAGUCCUCAUGGCCCUGGCGGGUAGGGAAGCCCACACGUCAUACAAUGGUCGGGACAGAGGGUCGCUAACCCGCGAGGGGAGCCAAUCCCAGAAACCCGAUCAGUCCGGAUCGCAGUCUGCAACUCGACUGGGUGAAGUCGGAAUCGCUAGUAAUCGCGGAUCAGCAUGUCGCGGUGAAUACGUUCCGGGUCUUGUACACACCGCCCGUCACACCAUGGGAGUGGGUUUUACCAGAAGUAGUUAGCCUAACCGUAAGGAGGGCGAUUACCACGGUAGGAUUCAUGACUGGGGUGAAGUCGUAACAAGGUAG
rnacentral:rRNA from 1 species